rnacentral:rRNA from 1 species
AUGGCAUCGAGCACUGGGGAGGAAGCUCCUGCCUCACCCGUUGUGGGAAAUGCUCCUCCACUGGUGACCACGGAAGCCAAGAUGAUUGUGGCCAUCGGCCAUGACCAUUGCCAGAAGUUGAAGGAUGUGUUGAGCAAGGAGGAUUCUUCCACCAUGGUAGUGGUGAUGGCCUCAAGCAACCAGACUCCCACGCCGCCCAAGCCUCGCUUGCCGGUCAUGGAUUCCAGGCUGCUAGCAGUAGCUUGCUCUGGUUCAUGGAAGAAGCUGCAAUCAUUUCUCAGUGGGGAAGACCGUCAAACCUCCGGCGACGGGGCUAUCCGAAGCUCUGCUAUGCAGCCAGCUUUUGGUGACGAAGAAGCACUUCUCAGGGAGUCUUUCCUGGAUGCGGUCACCAUGGACGGUGACACUUUUCUCCAUGUGAUGGCCACCAACAGUGAUGGUGAGAACUUGGAGGAAGAUGGCCCCAUACGCAGGAAGGCAGUAAGCCUCGUCUUCAUGCAAAACAGCCAUGGAGAUACGCCCCUGCACUAUGCUGCACGGGCGGCGAAAAUGAAUAUGGUAUCUUUUCUCAUUGAUCUUGCUGGAGGCAAGGAUCAAAAUGCUGACAGAGUGAAGGCGCUGCUAGAAAUGGAAAACAAGAGUAAAUGGACAGUCUUGCAUUAGGCGGUCCGCAGUGGGAAAAAUGAUAUAGUCGAAUUGCUCAUGAAGGAGGAUCCAGAAUUGGCAAGUCUUCCGAAAGCUGGUACUUCUCCGCUGUACCUAGCCAUCUUACUGGAAAACAGAAUCAUCGCCAAAACACUCUACAAGUUGAGCCGCGGGAACCUUUCAUACUCUGGACCAAGUGGACAAAAUGCAUUGCAUGCUGCUGUUCUCCGAGGCAAAGGUCUUACAGAGAUGGUGUUAGGAUGGAAUAACGACCUUACAACGCAACAAGAUGAUAAGGGAAGUACACCUCUUCACUUAGUUGCAUCUAUGCCACGUCAAAAAGACCGACGAUACAUACGUUUACUUCUACUGGAAGCCAAUCCAGAUGCAUUGUAUCAACUGGACAAUGAUGGAUCAUUCCCCAUACACGUGGCUGCAUCCGUUGGCUCAAGAAUUACCAUCAAUGUCUUUCUUCAGAAGUCGCCCAGUUGCGCUGGUCUACGUGAUGCUAGGGGAAGGACAUUUCUUCAUGUUGCAGUUGACAAAAUGAAAAUAUGGCCGGUCUGGUCUGCUUGCAGAAACCAGUCGUUAUCAUGGAUUUUAAAUAUGCAAGACAAUGGUGGAAACACUGCACUGCAUUUAGCCGUCCAAAAAGGAACACUGAUGAUAUUCUGUGCUAUAUUUGGGAAUAAACAAGUGCACUUAAAUUUAACAAAUGAGAAAGGAGAGACCCCGCUUGAUAUAGCACAUUGCAAUAUUCCCAAAGAAUUGCAUUAUAACCAGGUAAUAUGCAUGCAGUCAUUUUAUUUUUCAGCACGGACUUGA